ACAUUGAACCUUCGGGGGAUUUGUUGGGCGGCGAGCGGCGGACGGGUGAGUAAUGCCUGGGAAAUUGCCCUGAUGUGGGGGAUAACCAUUGGAAACGAUGGCUAAUACCGCAUGAUAGCUUCGGCUCAAAGAGGGGGACCUUCGGGCCUCUCGCGUCAGGAUAUGCCCAGGUGGGAUUAGCUAGUUGGUGAGGUAAGGGCUCACCAAGGCGACGAUCCCUAGCUGGUCUGAGAGGAUGAUCAGCCACACUGGAACUGAGACACGGUCCAGACUCCUACGGGAGGCAGCAGUGGGGAAUAUUGCACAAUGGGCGCAAGCCUGAUGCAGCCAUGCCGCGUGUAUGAAGAAGGCCUUCGGGUUGUAAAGUACUUUCAGCAGUGAGGAAGG
rnacentral:rRNA from 1 species